rnacentral:rRNA from 1 species
GACGAACGCUGGCGGCGUGCUUAACACAUGCAAGUCGAACGGAAAGGCCCUGCUUGCAGGGUACUCGAGUGGCGAACGGGUGAGUAACACGUGGGUGAUCUGCCCUGCACUUCGGGAUAAGCCUGGGAAACUGGGUCUAAUACCGGAUAGGAGCCAUUUUUAGUGUGAUGGUUGGAAAGUUUUUUCGGUGUAGGAUGAGCUCGCGGUCUAUCAGCUUGUUGGUGGGGUAAUGGCCUACCAAGGCGGCGACGGGUAGCCGGCCUGAGAGGGUGGACGGCCACAUUGGGACUGAGAUACGGCCCAGACUCCUACGGGAGGCAGCAGUGGGGAAUAUUGCACAAUGGGCGCAAGCCUGAUGCAGCGACGCCGCGUGGGGGAUGACGGCCUUCGGGUUGUAAACUCCUUUCGCUAGGGACGAAGCUUUUUGUGACGGUACCUAGAGAAGAAGCACCGGCUAACUACGUG